rnacentral:rRNA from 1 species
GACAGAGGGUGCAAACGUUGUUCGGAAUUACUGGGCGUAAAGCGAGUGUAGGCGGUUCGAUAAGUCGGAUGUGAAAGCCCCGGGCUCAACCCGGGAAGUGCACUCGAUACUGUCGAGCUAGAGUAUCGGAGAGGUUGGUGGAAUUCUCGGUGUAGAGGUGAAAUUCGUAGAUAUCGAGAGGAACACCGGUGGCGAAGGCGGCCAACUGGACGAAUACUGACGCUGAGGUGCGAAAGCGUGGGGAGCAAACAGG